rnacentral:lncRNA from 1 species
ACUGAAUGGGAUAACUAAACAGCAGAUUAGUCACAAGCAAAGAGAGAAUUCGUAAACUGGAAGAUAAGGCUAGAGGAAUCAUCCAGAAAUUAACACAAAGAAAUAAAGACAUGGGAAAUACAAAAAGACAUGCUAAAAGGUAUGAUGAAUACACUUAGAAGUUCUCAGGCAUAUGUGCUUUGAGUUUUAUAAAUAGAGAAUAUAAUCAGUGAGAAAAAGGCAAUAUUUGGUGAGGUAACUAAUAAGGUAAUUACAUAUAUGAGGCCCAAAUAAUUAUAAGAAAAAUACAUCAAAAGACAUCCCAGUUAUGGUUCAUUACAACGAAAAUAAAUAUUGGCUGAAAGCAAAGACAGAUUACAAAGGAUUAACAAUUAGAUUGCUAUCUGACUUUGCAGUAGGCUAGCAGUGGAAGCCAGAAAGCUGUGGAAUACAAACUUUAAAAUUCAAAGAAAAAGUAAUUUAAACCCAGAAUUAUGUAGCCUAUAAAAAUUGUUUUUAAAUUAUGUAAAGACAGUUUUUAAAGAGAGAGAGUUGAAAGAACUUACUACCAACAGAUCACCUAAAGAAGUAGAGGAUGAACUUCAUGAAGAAGUUAAAAAUCAUCAAGAAUGAAAAACUGAGAGUACAGAAGAAUGGUAAUAAGAUAAAAUAGCAAGUAUAAGGUUAAUCCAUGCAAAAUAUGGUGGUAUAAAACAAUGCUAACAAUAUCUAAUUUGUGAAUGUUAAAUGUUAGAAUUAAAAUAUUGGUUAAGACUAUAAGUUUGGAGAUAAAACACUCUAAAGUCCUCAUAAUGUUUGAGAAGAGAGAAUAGAGAAUAUUUCUUAACUUUGGACAUGUCAAGUUAAAUAUACAUGCCAGCGUUUUUGGGAUAACACAAAUAGAAUGGAAGUAAAGUGUGUGUAAUUUCCAAACUAAUAGAAUGGAAAUAUGUGCGGUCUAGGAAGGGGACCAACAAGCAAGAAAUGAUAAAAAAAAAUCUCAUUUUUUAAAAAAGAGGAGAAAGGAGAAAAGUGACAGAGAAAAAGAGCAAAUAUAAAGCCUAACAUAACUAGGUUAGAAACAAGCCCAAAUUUCUUAAUUAUUAUUAUAUAACAUAUAUAAUUUUAUAUAUUAUAUUAACUAUAAAUGGACUAGAUUCUGAAGUUAAAAGACAAAUAUGUCAGAACAAAUUGAAAGAUAGAACUGUAUUAAUAGUAACCAAAAGAAUAACUACUAGAUACAUUAUUAACUGAAAGAAAGUCAGUGCUCUAUAUUGUUAUCCCAUAAAGUAGGCUUUAGGACAAAAGACAUUGCAAGCAAUAAAAAGAAGUAAUAAAUAAUGAUAAAAGAUUAAUUUUCCCAGGAAGAUAUAGAAUUCAAAGUGUUUAUACUGCUAAUAAUAUGGCUUCAAAAUAUAAAAUAAGAAAAAUAAAUACCUAAAGGAAAAUAGCUUUCAAAUGCCAUCUGUUAUAUUUUUUAAAAGGGACCUCACAAGCUUUAUGGGGUCAUCACUAACAUUAAGAAACUGAUUAAAAAUCAACUGUUACUGAUUUUAAAAGCAAAGUCAUAACUUGUACAGAAUUUCUGACUGGAGAGGAAGUUAAAGAUAAACUAGUAAAAUCACUAAUUUUAAGGAUAAAUAAACUGAGGUCCCAACAGGUUUGGUAAUCCAGCAAAGGCUAGGCAACAUAUACUGGCAAAGCUAGCUCUAGAAGCAAAUUAACUGACUUCCAGACUAUUUAAAUAGUAUUUUCAUGCAGUCCUGUUUUCAAUUGUAUUCUCUCAUAACAUAAAUGUAGUGGUUUUAUUACUUUUAUUUUCUGUGUUUUUUCCCCCUUUUAUAUUAUAUGCUAUGGAGAAGUAGUUCUAUCUUAAGAUAAAAAUUGGAAGGCAAGGAGAGCCAUGGGUAGUAGACAUGUAGGCUUUCAGUCAGGAGGAAAUGAAGUCGUAGAUAGGAAGUACAUCAGGGACAGAAAAACUCAUUGGAAGAAGAUGCAGAAUUAUAAUUCUGGUACAGAAUUCUUUCAGUUACCAAGCUAAUUAUGAGUUGUACCCAUUCCAGUGCUGGUAAUAAAUAUGCUGAAUUCUUCUGGGAAUCAUGCUGGACUGGAAAGAAUCUGGACUAUAUCAAAAGUCUCGAGAAUCCCAUACUCCUUUACCAUUCAUAUGAUGUGAUGAAGUUCAUAGGGCUGGUGGGGAAAAGAUGUUAAUAGAAACAGAAGUAGUGUUCCAAGAAAUGUCACAUAUAUGAGCAAAUAAAAGCCUGUGGGCAGUUUCUUCUGCUAGAAUUAUUCUAUCACAGAAUUCUUAAACCCUAACCUUAUUUUGUUCACAGUCUUUUAUCAUAAUGAUAUUCCCUAUCAUUACAUUAUACCAUCAUCUUUUGUUUAUCCUCAUUAUGAGCCCAUACCUUAACUCCUCUUUAUGCUUCUAGCUGAAGUUAAAUAUUUCUGAUUUAGUUUCCUUCUCUAUCCACUGACCCUAUUGCCAGUCACUUUAACUGUCAUCUUAAUUUCUCCAAAACUACUCUUACAUGUAGUAAUAUGUACCUGGGCUUUUGAUAGCAUUAGAGAAGAAUUACAGGGCCACUAUAGAUAGCCCCCAAAUAAGAUUUAUAACUUCAUCUGCAUCUUCAAGAACCUCUUUUUUUAAGGUACAAUAUUUCUCAUUUUCUAUAAUAACCAUCUCAAACAUAUAUCACUAUCCUUAAAUUUGUUACCAUGCCUCUAUUGCUUUUCUCACUAUAUUAUCUUGAAACUAUGACCAUCUCAGGAGAAAAGUGGGGAACAAGACUUCAACUUAUCAUUAACCCCCAAUUUGCUAAUAUUUAUUCAAACCUCAAUUAUGAAUGCCUAGCAUGUGCCAGGCACUUUCAAUAUCUUUUUCUACUGUCUUAGGUGGCCUUUAUAUCAGCUUUAUAUAAGACAAAACUUUGUCUUUGCUUUUGAUUCUCUGAAUACUUAUACCAAGAAUCUCACUUGAGAAGUUUUAAAAAUAAAUUUUCUUUUAUAUUUUCAACACUCCCCUCCAUUUACUUUCACUCUGUCUUGCACACAUUUCUAAGUCCCUUCCAUGUUAAACAUUCAUUUCCCUUAGGUCCAGAUACCCCUGAGUCAUUCACUGCCAUUCUGUUCCCCAUAACUUCAAAAGACCUUAAAAAGAUCAUCUCUGUUUUAAGCUUAUACUCUUUACUUCCCAUUAAUUAUUAGAAAUAUGUGAAAUAUGGCUUCUAUUUGACUGCUUCCCAAGAAUCACUCUGGAAAAUGAUUACCAAAAAAAACCCCACCACAUUCUAGAAAAAUCCAAUUAAUAUUUUUAGUAUUAAUUUGACCCAGUCUCCUCAGUCUUUAAUGUUACUUACUGCUCUCUCCUUCUUAAAGAUGCUUUUUCCAUUGGUAACUGUGACAUUAUUUUCACCUUCCCUGCCCCCCCCCCGCAGAUUCUCCUUUGUGCUUCUUUAAUGCUCUUCUCCUUCAGUUGAAAUUAGCAAUAAUUAAUGUUCAGACUUCUUGUUUCCUUACUCUAUAUAAUCUUCCUUUGAAAGAUAAACUUACUAUGAGUCCUGGUUUAGGUGGCUUGAGAUUGUACCGUGGACAUUCAUUCAUAAGAAUUGGUAGUAAUCUCAUUCUCUAUUUAAGUAUACAAUAGCACUCUAUUGGUCUCUCUGUUUCUAGUUAUUUUUACAUUUGAUCUUUUCUCCAUAAUUUGGUCAUAUAUAUAUUUUAAUAUAAAAUCUUACCCCCAAUUCUUUAAUUAUUUACUUCUUAGAGAAAUUCAAAGAAUUCCCAACUUAUCACAGCAUGCAAAACCUUCUGUGAUCUGCCCUAGCUAAACAUUCUAAACUUUUCUCUAAGAUUCUAGUAUCUAGAAUUAUUAGUCUGCAAACAUGCUAUUUUCUUUGAUGCUUUCAUAAUUUUGGAGCUGCUCUCUCAAUGUGUAGAAAGCCUUUUUUAUUUGUUUUUAUGAAAAUUUUCUGCUAAUCCUUCAAGGACUAGUAUGUAUGUUAUUUCCUCAGUGGAAGUCCUUCCAGGCUCCCCCAGGCAGGGUUAUUCUCUUAAUAUAGAUGUGACACUUUAUUCCUCUAUUAUAGACUUUCCACAUUGUAUUAGAAUGCUUUGCUAGGUGCUUCUCUUCCUUAGUGGACUGUGUGCUCCUCAAAGACAGGGCAAUCAAAGCAAAGCAAAGUGCCUGGAACAUAGUAAGUACUGCAUGGUUUGGUAUCGGCAGAAUAAAUUGUCUACUCUGACAAUUGAUGCCUUAAUAGUAUUGAUAGUUGCCUGAGAGUUUCCAGAACUGAAGUUUAUGUCACAUUAGCUAAAGUGGUUGUAUCUGUAAAAAUGGGGGCAAUAUUUAGACCUUUGUUAUACAUGAAACAAAAAAUGUAAUUAAAAGCCAACUCUUUUUAUCCUUUUAACUUUAAUAUUUUUACAAUUCUAUAAUUGAUGUAGUAUCCACUUCCUCCUUUGAACUCAACCUUCAAUCAGUCACUAUCAAUUAGAAAUCACCUUCUUAAAUCUGCUUUAGAUUCAUCCUUAUUAUUCCUACUUGAAUUUAGACAUAUCACACUUAGAUUGUUGGCAUAGUGUUCUGACAUAUAAGAUAGUCUCUGCCACAAAUCAUUCUAUAUAGUAUACUUCUAUUGUAAAUGGUAGGGCUAGAUUAUGCUUCUACUUAAGUGGUAGUUUGAGGCCAUCACUCCCCUAUUUAAAAAAGGAAAUCCAAUGACAUCAAACAAACUACACUAAAUAUUCAAAUUCUCCCUUACUUUGGCCCUAGGAUUCCUUUCUGGCUUCAUUUCUCACCAUGAUCUUCAUGAUCUUUAUUUGUGGCUAGAUGGUAAGUCAACAUUCUAUCAUUACCACAUAGCACAUUUCCUAGGACAUUCUAAAUGCCCAAAUUUUGUUAAAUAGAUUAAUGAAAGUAUGCGGAGUUUUUCAGACAUGCUUCUUCAAGUUCUUUCGCCAAUGGCCCGGAUAGGGUAGGGCAUGAGGAGGCAGGUGAUUGGUUGGAGAUUAUGACAAGGGACCUAAGCGAGUUUUGUUGGACUCUAGUGCCCACUUCUACUUCAACUAAAGCAACUCAACAAUACCACAUGUGUUAGUUUUGUAUUUGGGGUUGGCAUAUAGAGAAAAAGCAUGGGUUUUAAAUCGGAUGGACUGCUUAUUUUAGUAUAGAAUAAUGUAUGAGAUUUGGAAAUAGACCCACUUAAACUCUUAUGAAUAAGGCAAGUGAAGUGCUUAAGGGCAGAGAGUUUAAGGAGCUAUUCAUUCUCAAGGAUAUACAUUUGAUUUACCUGAGUUCCAGCCCUAGUAACCAAGCUAGACUUUCAAGCCUUUCUUGGUCAUCUUACUUCUCUUUUCAUAAAGACUAUCUUCCCUAAAGAUCAAACUCAAGGAAAGCCUACUUAGAAUACAAACCUUUCUACAUGAAGACUUCUGCAGUCAGCCAUCAAGAGUGUGUUUGUGUGUGUAUGUGUGUGUCCUCUGAAGUCCAGUGGAUCUUUGAUUUAUACCUUUCAUACUUAACUCUUCCUAGUAAUAAUUCUGCCACCUGUCUGUCAUAGCUCAUACAUAUCUUACCUUACCUCCUUGAUACAAGUUCUCUCAGGGAUAGAAUCCUAUUUAAUUCAAACAUACAUGUCCCUCUAUAUCUAAUAUAGUAAUCUGCACAUGGUAGUUUUUCAAUGAAACUGUUAAGGAUUUAAUGAAUACUCUUCCUACUUGGAGGGAAAAGUGUAAUUCUUAUAUUUUGGCUCUGGAUUGAAUCCAUUUUCAAGUCUCCAUUAAAUCAUUGCAUUUUUUUUCACUUUUUCAUUAACCAUAGAAGCUUUUAUUCAUUUUGACUAUUAUUUACUCAAAGAUGUCUUGGGAAGCCGUAGUUCCCUUUCUACUUUAGUGGAACACUAAGUGAGUCCCCCUUUAACCACAGGUACCUGGCUCAAUGUCCUGGCCUGUCCUCAUCCUGCUGUUCCCAUGGCUUGUUCUGUCUGGUCUCACACAGUCAGGAUCCACCCGUGGUUUUGUCUUCCUGGCAGUGGCCACCCAUAACCUGAGAUGUAUUUUUUGUCUUGUUCUAAUGGGUGAGAGCUCUGAAGUCUCCCCCUCCCCCAAGCCAUGUCCUGCCUUGUAAAUUAAAAGUCUCCUCCUGUUGCUCAGUCCUGGGAUUCGGUGCUUGGCAGCCCCUGCUGCUUAAGGUAAUUAAUGGAUCCUUGGGGUCUACACCUGUUUCUGUGCAUACUACAGUUCAAGGCAGGCCUUUCAUCACUGAAUGGACAUAACUAUUGGAAAUAGACAUGGGGAACGCUGCAGGAGAAAUCUGCUUCCGAACGAGGAGUACGUUAGCCCUAAGAAGCAGUUUCAGUUGAGCUGACACUCACUUUUCAGAGAUGUGUGCUGUUUUUCAUUCAAGUCUGGCUUUCUACCCACCAGAGUUAUUCAAAACCUAAAGUAUAAGAUUGAGGUAUGUCUCCAUAUGGAUAUCCUAUAUCUCUUCCUUCUCUUGCCAUAGCUCUCUAGCCCUCUCACAGUAAUGAGCUUAGAUGCCAAAUUUAAAACUCACUCAUGCCAUCUGAGAAUGUUUUUUUUUUUUCACUUUUAGCAACCAAAUUAAAAAAAAAAACAACAAAAAUAGAAAAACAAAAAAUCCUAAGUGUUUAUUCCAUUAUAAAAAAACAGACUUGGCAAAAAGACAGGUUAUUCAGGUAACUCAAAACUAUUUUCUUUCAGGGUAAAAGGCAUGAAACCAAUAUCUAACUAUUUUAAUUGUAAGAACUGGAUAGCUUUAAUUGUAUGCAUUUUAAUGUACUUUAAUAAAGUUCAAAUUGUGAUGUUUAAAAAAGGUUAUUUUUACUGCAUAUUUUGUGGAUUGAUACUGAUAGCCAGUCCACUGUAUUUUUGCUUCAACCCACUAUGACAACUGGAUAUUGAAUCUGCUGGGAAAAUGAAUUCCUUACUGAGCAUUUCAACUUAAACUUAGGUUCCAGGUGGAUUAAACAUAUGAUGUUGUAACACUAUUAUCAGCCUGACAGGAAAUGCAUGGAGACACCAGUCCUCGUUUCUUAAACUUCGAGGAGCCUCAGCUAGCAAAUUGCCACUUAUUAGCUUGUCUCACCUAUAAAAGAGCCAUGGAAGAGACUCACAGAGAACGGAAGUGAUUUCCUGAUGACAACAGGGGGUGCUCUCCCUAGACUGAAGGCAGAUACGUUCUCAGAGCAGUGGGAAGGGAAUAACACAUUGCCUUACUAAGACUCUAUAUGAGACUUUAGAAGUGCCUAAUACCUGCCUGGAGCAAGAGAAUUAAUAUGCUCUAUUCCACAGCUCUGCCAUCUUCAACUUUGAUAAAUACUUAAAAAUGUAUUUUUAAAAAGUCAUUAUCUUCUGGAAUAUAGGCUUCAGCCAUCAUACGUGGAAUGUGUGAAACUGUGGUGUGAUUUGUAACAGGAUGUAUACCACAUUUUUAAUCAGGGAAUUGUUUCUUAAAGCUAAAAGACCUGUAGUGAGUUAAGGCAUUUGACUCAGCCAAAUGUUCCAAUCAUUAAACGAUCGAAGAGGAAAUCUAUAGAAUCUUAUUAUAAACUUACAAAAAGGAUAACUGUGGAUCUCGGCCAUAAACUGAAGUAAUACAGAUGAACUGGACACAUAUGUUACACAAUAGGUGAUUCAGUGCAAUAUAGCCUAUGCUGUUUUAUGAUAUGGAAAGCAAUCAAAUCUUAUUUGCAAAAAAUUCAGAUCAAUUGAAUUUUAAUGAGAAGCAGGUGCUGGAGUGUAGCAUCCACAAAGAAUUCUGGGAAUGUU